rnacentral:rRNA from 1 species
GAUGAACGCUGGCGGCGUGCUUAACACAUGCAAGUCGAACGGUGAAGCAGGAGCUUGCUCCUGUGGAUCAGUGGCGAACGGGUGAGUAACACGUGAGCAACCUGCCCCGGACUCUGGGAUAAGCGCUGGAAACGGCGUCUAAUACCGGAUACGAGCUGCGAAGGCAUCUUCAGCAGCUGGAAAGAACUUCGGUCUGGGAUGGGCUCGCGGCCUAUCAGCUAGUUGGUGAGGUAACGGCUCACCAAGGCGUCGACGGGUAGCCGGCCUGAGAGGGUGACCGGCCACACUGGGACUGAGACACGGCCCAGACUCCUGCGGGAGGCAGCAGGGGGGAAUAUUGCACAAUGGGCGAAAGCCUGAUGCAGCAACGCCGCGUGAGGGAUGACGGCCUUCGGGUUGUAAACCUCUUUUAGCAGGGAAGAAGCGAAAGUGACGGUACCUGCAGAAAAAGCGCCGGCUAACUACGUGCCAGCCGCCGCGGUAAAAC